AUGUGUUCUGCGAGGUCCUGCAAACAUACUGGCAAAAUGAGAUGAUCAAGUUAGAUGCUCACCUACUGUGUUGCUGAGUCAUCAAGGAUCCAGCUUGUUCUUGAAACAUUGAAGUUUGCGCUCUGCAAGUGAACGACGCCUUGUGGUGCCAUCCCAAAGAGGUUCAAAUCACUCUCAAGGACCUUUUCCUGGACUGUGCCCAGCUGGUGGAAUGACCUCCCAAUCUCAAUUCGUACAGCUGAGUCUUUACUCAUUUUCAAGAAACAUCUAAAGACCCAUCUUUUUCGCCAGCACUUAACCAGCUAAUACUAGCACUUUUCCUUCUUUUCUUGUCUUUCAUAUUUAAAAAAAAAAAAAAAAACCUGGCUAUGCAUUCUGUACUACACUAACUGAGACUUGUCAUGGCACUUGUAUACUGUUGUUGUUCUCUUGUUGACCUGACUGCUUCUAUUGUUCUCAUUUGUAAGUAGCUUUGGAUAAAAGUGUCUAAUUAAAUGUAAAUGUUUAUACAGGACGGUACAGAAAGGGCACAAGUGGGAGAGAGUGGAGGGGAUGGCGUCAGAAUGGACCUAGUGCUGGGACUCUUUCAAGGAUCACCCAAAGCACAACCACACUGU